GACGAACGCUGGCGGCGUGCUUAACACCUGCAAGUCGAACGAAGUGGCGAACGGGUGAGUAACGCGUAAUCAACCUGCCCUUCAGAGGGGGACAACAGUUGGAAACGACUGCUAAUACCGCAUACUGAAUGAGGGGAUUUCGUCUGAUUAGCUAGUUGGAGGGGUAAUGGCCCACCAAGGCGAUGAUCAGUAGCCGAUGUGAGAGGAUGAACCGCCAAAUCGGAACUGAGACACGGCCCAGACUCCGACGGGAGGCAGCAGUGGGGAAUCUUACGCAAUGGACGAAAGACGGACGGAGCAACGCCGCGUGAGUGAUGACGGCCGUCGGGUUGUAAAGCUCUGAUAAUCGGGACGCGGUACCGGAAUAGAAAGCCACGGCGAACUACGUGCCAGCAGCCGCGGUAAUUC
rnacentral:rRNA from 1 species